rnacentral:rRNA from 1 species
AUACGGAGGAUGCGAGCGUUAUCCGGAUUUAUUGGGUUUAAAGGGAGCGUAGGUGGGAUAUUAAGUCAGCUGUGAAAGUUUGGGGCUCAACCUUAAAAUUGCAGUUGAUACUGGUUUCCUUGAGUACGGUACAGGUGGGCGGAAUUCGUGGUGUAGCGGUGAAAUGCUUAGAUAUCACGAAGAACUCCGAUCGCGAAGGCAGCUCACCGGGCCGGAACUGACACUGAUGCUCGAAAGUGCGGGUAUCAAACAGGAUUAGAUACCCUGGUAGUCCGCACAGUAAACGAUGAAUACUCGCUGUUUGCGAUAUACAGUAAGCGGCCAAGCGAAAGCGUUAAGUAUUCCACCUGGGGAGUACUCCGGCAACGGUGAAACUCAAAGGAAUUGACGGGG